rnacentral:lncRNA from 1 species
AAGCGAGCAAACAUAUGUAGGUCAUAUGUUACACAUUUUGGUUAAAAAUGACACCCGUUUGACUUCAAUCCAAUAGAUUUUGUUUUUGACAUAACAUUUUGUCACAUGCUUCAUAUACUUUGUUGUUUUCAAAUAUAUUCCGAGAGCAUUCUUAAAAUUGAUUUUGUAACUGUUUUAGUUUUCUAGCAUCUAUUUAUGCAUAUUUUUUAUCAAGGUUUCAGCAGCAACGCGCGGGUCAUCAUCUAGUAAGAAAUAGAAGUUGUGGACUAACGAUGGUUUUAUAAAAAUCCAACAUUUUUUUCGAUCAACAGGGCUCACCGCGGUUCCAUUUCAUGAACCCUGUUCCAUUUCAUUGAAACAAAACAUAAAAAAUAAACCCAAUAAAUACAAGUAAGAGAAGGGGUAAAUGGCUCAAAUCAUGUUCUAGUUGUAUUUCAGGGAGCCGAUCAAGCCGUGGCUAGCACUUCUAGUAGUACGCUAUAGGAGUUCAGGCUACCUCCGUGCGCUGAAGCACAGCCGGCUCAACAGGUAAGGAGGCUUUAGGCCUGGCCGGAGAGUGCAUGAGAGAUAUUCAGCUUCAGGGUUUGUUUGUUUAGGAUUCGUACUCGGGUCCAAACAACAUAAUUGGAGGCACCUCCGCAAAGGGUUUUUUCCAAGCCGAAGUGAACUAUGUUGCGUUUGCUUGAGAAGCAACCUGCGAGAAGUGGAUGCCGUUGGUUGAGCUGUGAGAAUGCACAGGUUGGAUGUACAUUGAGCAUCGCAUGCUGGUUCCGGAUCCGUGCCAACAUUAUGCUUGCUAUCAUGUUGGUAUCCUCCAAUCUCUCACAUGACUAAACAUUGUGGACAUGCGGAUAAUGACAUGGUCGGGAAUAAGCAACUAAUUAAGAACAAAGGCUGGUUGCUCUUGCUCAUUGACACACACUCGGCUAAGACAGGAAGUCAGUGAAAGGUAUAUAUGUAGAAGCUUUCGUUCCUGCAACAAGGAAUGAUACACACAUAUAAGCAUGAGUACAUGGGAACUCUAGUGCAUAUGAGCAUGAUAAAGUCUGAAGUGUGUGAGCACAUCACGCAAUUGUUCCCCACAAAAGCCAACAUGACCGGUUUGAAGAAAUUAGCAAUCACAGUUUUGCAGCAUGCGUAUCACCCUCUCUUAUUCCCCCUUUGCUUUUUAUAGUACUUCAUAUUUCCUUCAACCGCAAUAGCAGAAACACCAGAUAAGCAUGCCUACUGUACAAUAUGCAUGAGGGAACAAAAUAAUUGAUCUCGUUCCCAUUGUCCUAGACAAUUGGAUUAUCUCACGUGAAUAUUUUAUAGUACAUGUACAAGUUGUAAAUACCAAGAGAAGUGUAAAAUAUUUUGAAUGACCGUUAUAUCCCAUGUAAUUUGUAAAAGAUAACUCUAGAAUUAAAUUGUCUAGGGUGACUGAUAAUUACUUGGUCAUAAAAUGAGUUAGUAAUACGGGUUCAAAUCAAGAAAAAAAAUAGCAUGCUACAGAAAAUAGCACAGCCCUUGAAAAUAUGCUAUAGCGUGUUAUAAUGUGUUUUUAGCGAGACAUUAUACACUAAUUAAUUUAA